AGUGAACGCUGGCGGUAGGCCUAACACAUGCAAGUCGAACGGCAGCACAGUAAGAGCUUGCUCUUACGGGUGGCGAGUGGCGGACGGGUGAGGAAUACAUCGGAAUCUACUUUUUCGUGGGGGAUAACGUAGGGAAACCUACGCUAAUACCGCAUACGACCUACGGGUGAAAGCAGGGGAUCUUCGGACCUUGCGCGAUUGAAUGAGCCGAUGUCGGAUUAGCUAGUUGGCGGGGUAAAGGCCCACCAAGGCGACGAUCCGUAGCUGGUCUGAGAGGAUGAUCAGCCACACUGGAACUGAGACACGGUCCAGACUCCUGCGGGAGGCAGCAGUGGGGAAUAUUGGACAAUGGGCGCAAGCCUGAUCCAGCCAUACCGCGUGGGUGAAGAAGGCCUUCGGGUUGUAAAGCCCUUUUGUUGGGAAAGAAAAGCAGCAGGUUAAUACCCCGCUGUUCUGACGGUACCCAAAGAAUAAGCACCGGCUAACUUCGUG
rnacentral:rRNA from 1 species